rnacentral:tRNA from 1 species
CGAUAGCUCAGCAGGAUAGAGCGUCCGCCUCCUAAGCGGAAGGCCGCUGGUUCGAAUCCAGUUC